UAGGGAGGCAGCAGUGGGGAAUAUUGCACAAUGGGCGCAAGCCUGAUGCAGCCAUGCCGCGUGUAUGAAGAAGGCCUUCGGGUUGUAAAGUACUUUCAGUCGUGAGGAAGGUGUUAAGGUUAAUAACCUUAGCAAUUGACGUUAGCGACAGAAGAAGCACCGGCUAACUCCGUGCCAGCAGCCGCGGUAAUACGGAGGGUGCGAGCGUUAAUCGGAAUUACUGGGCGUAAAGGGCACGCAGGCGGUUAAUUAAGUUGGAUGUGAAAUCCCCGGGCUUAACCUGGGAAUGGCAUUCAAGACUGGUUAGCUAGAGUCUUGUAGAGGGGGUAGAAUUCCAUGUGUAGCGGUGAAAUGCGUAGAGAUGUGGAGGAAUACCGGUGGCGAAGGCGGCCCCUGGACAAAGACUGACGCUCAUGUGCGAAAGCGUGGGGAGCAAAC
rnacentral:rRNA from 1 species